AGUUCUUUCUUGAUUUCUUGGAUGGUGAUGCAUGGCCGUUUUUAGUUCGUGAAAUUUGAUUUGUCUGGUUAAUUCCGAUAACGAACGAGACCUUACCUUGCUAAUUAGCGAUAAAUACAAGAUAUUCUUAAUUUAAAAAUAAGAUAAUAAAAAAAAAAAAAAAAAGAAUUUGUUUAGAUUUUGCAUUUUUUAUUAAAAAAAUGUAUAUUUCUUUUACAGUAUUUUUUUUUUUUUUUUUUUUUUUAUUUUGUUUUUAUUAAGAAUGUAUUUAUUUAAAAUUUGAAAGCUUCUUAGAGGAACGAUGUGUGUUUAACACAAGGAAGUUUAAGGCAACAACAGGUCUGUGAUGUCCUUAGAUAUGCUAGGCUGCACGCGUGCUACACUGAUAUGUGUAACGAGUUUUACAUUUUACAGAGGUCAUAUUUAUAUGUGCCACUGUAAGAUCCUUCACUGAAAAGUGUUGGGUAAUCUUUGAUUGAAUACAUAUCGUGAUGGGGAUAGAUUAUUGCAAUUAUUAAUCUUGAACGAGGAAUGCCUAGUAAGCAUGAUUCAUCAGAUUGUGCUGACUACGUCCCUGCCCUUUGUACACACCGCCCGUCGCUCCUACCGAUUGAAAGAUAUGAUGAAUUGUUUAGACAAGAAGAAACAGAAGAUUUUUCUUUUGUUUUUUUUUUUUUGGAAAAACUGUAAAUCCUAUCUUUUAAAGGAAGGAGAAGUCGUAACAAGGUUUCCGUAGGUGAACCUGCGGAAGGAUCAUUA